CAGAGAUUAGUUUAACAAAACAACUACCUUCGAACUAGCAAUCUCAGGAACCCCUGA
rnacentral:tRNA from 1 species